UAGUAACAAAGAUUAUUUAAGAGUACACGAGUGAGAAAAGAUUACGCGCAACUGCGUAAUACAAACCAAGAGUUGUCCAGUUAAACGAAUUGAAAUAAAACUGUAUACAAAACAUUUACAAAAGGUUACGAGAACUUCGGCAGAACAAGGGAGGAGAAAAUGAAAAGGUGCUCGUGAUGAGAAACAACAUUUUUAUUAAUAAAAAAAUGUGUUACAAACCUUUUUUUGAACGUCGUUUAUUUUAUGUAGUAAAUUUACGAAAAAAUAAUUUCUCAGAAUCUGAGUAUAUAUUAAGGAUUACUCCGGGGCCUGCUGUAAUAAUACAUACUACACAUCUUAUUCAUAUCCUCCACCCAUAUCCUCGAAAAUCAUUUGUGUAUGUUAUAUGAUGUAUAAAUUGCUUUGUGUGACCAUUUGCAAAAUUUUAAAUUUUAAUAAAAAAUACGAGAUAAUCGAGAUGAGUUUGUCUAAAUAAAAAAGGGUAAUUCUAAUAAAACGUAAACUUACAAUAAAAAGUGCAAAAUGAUACAAAUAGCGGUGUAAUAUUUAUCACAUUGUAAAUAUUUUAGAUGUAACUGUUUUAGAUAACAAACCCAACGUUAAAGGCGCGAUUAUAGUAAUAUGUAAAUAAUAAACACAAAAUAAAACAAAAGGAUGGAUGGAGAA